UACGUAGGUGACCAGCGUUGUCCGGAUUUACUGGGCGUAAAGAGCGCGCAGGCGGUCGUUCAAGUCGAGUGUGAAAGCCCCCCGGCUCAACUGGGGAGGGUCACUCGAUACUGAUCGACUGGAAGGCAGGAGAGGGAAGCGGAAUUCCCGGUGUAGUGGUGAAAUGCGUAGAUAUCGGGAGGAACACCAGUGGCGAAGGCGGCUUCCUGGCCUGUUCUUGACGCUGAGGCGCGAAAGCUAGGGGAGCAAACGGG
rnacentral:rRNA from 1 species